CGCCCUUGGGGGCCGGCGCCCGCUCGCAGUUGCAGCCCUCCAGCAUGUACAUGCCGGCGGGCCGGGCGCUCCUGCUCGCUCUCGAAGUAGAAGAGCACGUUCUGGUAGAGCGCGAACCACUUCUCGUGCCAGCGGCUGGUCUCCGCCGUCUUCUUGCUCAGUGUGAAACAGCUGCUGCAUUCCAAAGCAGAAGUACCUGCAUUCCAGCAAUGGGGAAAAUGAUACACAUAUAUAGCAUAUAACAUGCUUUAUGAUUCUUCUAGAUGAAAGACAACAAAAAAUGAGCUCAACAGUACUGCCAGCAAUGUUGUACAGCAGCAAAACAUGGAUACUGACAAAGAUAGAGGAGCAACAACUGUGUCACAGAGAGGGCGACAGAAAAGAAUUCUGGGGAUUUCAAUCUGCCACCGAGUCCCCAGUGAAGUGAUCAGACAGUAGAGUGGAGUGCAGGAUAUCAUUGUUGAAAGCAGGUACAGUAAAAUGCGAUAGGCCGGGCAUAUAGCUAGGCUCACUGAUAAUCAAUAGAUUACAGCUGUUGCCAAGUGGUACCCAGGGGAACUGAAACGACCACUUUGCCAACCUCUAAAGAGAUGGGAAGGUUUAAUUGCAGAAAGGCAUGGCCACACAUGGGAGAAGGAAGGCCAGGAUAAAAAGAAUGGAAGAUGUGUUGUGAUUGACACAAUCU